rnacentral:tRNA from 1 species
AUUCAAAUAGCUUAUAAUAGAGCGUGAUAUUGAAGAUAUCAAGGAAAUUUAAUAUUUUUGGGUA